UACGGAGGGGGCUAGCGUUGUUCGGAAUUACUGGGCGUAAAGCGCGCGUAGGCGGCUUUGUAAGUUAGAGGUGAAAGCCCGGGGCUCAACUGCGGAAUUGCCUUUAAGACUGCAUCGCUAGAAUUGUGGAGAGGUAAGUGGAAUUCCGAGUGUAGAGGUGAAAUUCGUAGAUAUUCGGAAGAACACCAGUGGCGAAGGCGACUUACUGGACACAUAUUGACGCUGAGGUGCGAAAGCGUGGGGAGCAAACAGG
rnacentral:rRNA from 1 species